GUGCUCGCUUUGGCAGCAUGUACAUUAAAAUUGGAAUGGUGCAGAGAAGAUUAGCAUGGCCCCUGGCAAGGAUGACAUGCAUAUUCGUGAAGCGCUCCAUAAAAUA